UACAGAGGGUGCGAGCGUUAAUCGGAAUUACUGGGUGUAAAGCGUGCGCAGGCGGCUUUGCAAGACAGAUGUGAAAUCCCCGGGCUCAACCUGGGAACUGCAUUUGUGACUGCAUGGCUAGAGUGCGGCAGAGGGGGAUGGAAUUCCGCGUGUAGCAGUGAAAUGCGUAGAUAUGCGGAGGAACACCGAUGGCGAAGGCAAUCCCCUGGGCCUGCACUGACGCUCAUGCACGAAAGCGUGGGGAGCAAACAGG
rnacentral:rRNA from 1 species